AUUGAACGCUGGCGGCAUGCUUUACACAUGCAAGUCGAACGGCAGCGCGGGCUUCGGCCUGGCGGCGAGUGGCGAACGGGUGAGUAAUGCAUCGGAACGUGCCCAGUAGUUGGGGAUAGCCCGGCGAAAGCCGGAUUAAUACCGCAUACGACCUGAGGGUGAAAGCGGGGGACCGAAAGGCCUCGCACUAUUGGAGCGGCCGAUGUCGGAUUAGCUAGUUGGUGGGGUAAAGGCUUACCAAGGCGACGAUCCGUAGCUGGUCUGAGAGGACGACCAGCCACACUGGGACUGAGACACGGCCCAGACUCCUACGGGAGGCAGCAGUGGGGAAUUUUGGACAAUGGGGGCAACCCUGAUCCAGCCAUGCCGCGUGCGGGAAGAAGGCCUUCGGGUUGUAAACCGCUUUUGUUCGGGAAGAAAUCCUCUGGGCUAAUACCCCGGGGGGAUGACGGUACCGGAAGAAUAAGCACCGGCUAACUACGUG
rnacentral:rRNA from 1 species